rnacentral:pre_miRNA from 1 species
AGGGGGUGUGCAGGAUCCUGGGCUGUGUCCCCCGGCGCCUGGGAUCCGGGGCCUGUGCCGCUGGAAUUGCGCUCCCGGGGUAGUGCAGCCCCCU